UUUUGGUGAGGUGCCUUCCGAGUUCCCUGGAACGGGACGCCAUAGAGGGUGAGAGCCCCGUCUGGUUGGACGCCGAACCUCUGUAAAGCUCCUUCGACGAGUCGAGUAGUUUGGGAAUGCUGCUCUAAAUGGGAGGUAUAUGUCUUCUAAAGCUAAAUACCGGCCAGAGACCGAUAGCGCACAAGUAGAGUGAUCGAAAGAUGAAAAGAACUUUGAAAAGAGAGUUAAACAGUACGUGAAAUUGUUGAAAGGGAAGCGCUUGUGACCAGACUUGGGCUUGGUUGAUCAUCCGGGGUUCUCCCCGGUGCACUCUUCCGGCUCAGGCCAGCAUCAGUUCGCCCUGGGGGAUAAAGGCAUCGGGAACGUGGCUCUCUCCGGGGAGUGUUAUAGCCCGUUGCGUAAUACCCUGUG
rnacentral:rRNA from 1 species